GAGAUAUGAUGAGCAACAUUGGUCCGUGUUUCUGAAUAAAUUGUGACGAAUAUCCAUAUAAGCACACUCUGAUCUC